UACAGAGGGUGCAAGCGUUGUUCGGAAUUACUGGGCGUAAAGCGCGUGUAGGCGGUUUGGUAAGUUCUGUGUGAAAGCCCUGGGCUCAACCCAGGAAGUGCGCAGAAUACUGCCUGACUGGAGUGACGGAGAGGAUGGCGGAAUUCCCGGUGUAGAGGUGAAAUUCGUAGAUAUCGGGAGGAACACCUGUGGCGAAGGCGGCCAUCUGGACGUCAACUGACGCUGAGACGCGAAAGCAUGGGGAGCAAACAGGG
rnacentral:rRNA from 1 species